rnacentral:rRNA from 1 species
GACGAACGCUGGCGGCGUGCUUAACACAUGCAAGUCGAACGGAAAGGCCUGUCCUUCCUUGUGUUGGACGGGUACUCGAGUGGCGAACGGGUGAGUAACACGUGAGUGAUCUGCCCCCAACUUGGGUAUAAGCCUGGGAAACUGGGCCUAAUUCCCGAUAGGACUGCAGGGUGGUGCCUGUGGUGGAAAACGAUUUUCUAGUGGUUGGGGAUGAGCUCGCGGCCUAUCAGCUUGUUGGUGGGGUAAUGGCCUACCAAGGCGGCGACGGGUAGCCGGCCUGAGAGGGUGGACGGCCACAUUGGGACUGAGAUACGGCCCAGACUCCUACGGGAGGCAGCAGUGGGGAAUAUUGCACAAUGGGCGGAAGCCUGUUGCAGCGACGCCGCGUGGGGGAUGACGGCCUUCGGGUUGUAAACUCCUUUCGACCGCGAGGAAGCCGCCUGGUUGGAAGGGUGGUGACGGUAGUGGUAGAAGAAGCACCGGCUAACUACGUG